GACGAACGCUGGCGGCGUGCCUAAUACAUGCAAGUAGAACGCACAGUUUAUACCGUAGCUUGCUCCACCAUAGACUGUGAGUUGCGAACGGGUGAGUAACGCGUAGGUAACCUGCCUGGUAGCGGGGGAUAACUAUUGGAAACGCUAGCUAAUACCGCAUAAUAUUAAUUAUUGCAUGAUAAUUAAUUUAAAGUUUCAAUUUCACCACUACCAGAUGGACCUGCGUUGUAUUAGCUAGUAGGUGAGGUAACGGCUCACCUAGGCGAAGAUACAUAGCCGAACGGAAAGGGGGAUCGGCCAAACUGGGACUGAGACACGGCCCAGAAUGCUACGGGAGGCAGCAGGAGGGAAACUUCGGAAAUAGACGAAAGUCAGACCGAGCAACGCCGAGUGAGUGAAGAAGGUUGUCGGAUCGUAAAGCUCUGUUGUAAGAGAAGAACGGGUGUGAGAGUGGAAAGUUCACACUGUGACGGUAACUUACCAGAAAGGGACGGCUAACUACGUG
rnacentral:rRNA from 1 species